CAGGUACACACACGUCUGACGUACCUGCGUCACCUGAUCGUGUCGCUAGCGCAGGCGCGCGACAUCGACCGUACUUUGCUCGUGUUCUCACACGAUUACUAUGAUGAAGAGAUCAACACUCUAGUCAGGAGUAUCGACUUUACUAAGGUAAUACAAAUAUUCUACCCGUACUCGAUACAAACGCACCCCAACGAGUUCCCCGGGAUGGAUCCCAACGACUGCCCCCGAGAUGCCAAGUUUGAACAGGCAAUGAAACUAAAGUGCAUAAACGCGUUGCACCCCGACCUCCACGGACACUACAGGGAGGCGAAAUACGCUCAAACAAAACACCACUGGUGGUGGAAGGCCAACAGGAUCUUCAACCAGCUGCAGUGCACCGCUAAUCAUACUGGUAAGGGAAAUACC